rnacentral:rRNA from 1 species
AUUGAACGCUGGCGGCAGGCCUAACACAUGCAAGUCGAGCGGUAACACUUCGGGUGACGAGCGGCGGACGGGUGAGUAACGCGUAGGAAUCUGCCCAGUAGUGGGGGACAACAGUUGGAAACGACUGCUAAUACCGCAUACGCCCUACGGGGGAAAGGGGGCUUCGGCUCUCGCUAUUGGAUGAGCCUGCGUGAGAUUAGCUAGUUGGUAAGGUAAUGGCUUACCAAGGCAACGAUCUCUAGCUGGUUUGAGAGGAUGAUCAGCCACACUGGGACUGAGACACGGCCCAGACUCCUACGGGGAGGCAGCAGUGGGGGGAAUAUUGCACAAUGGGCGCAAGCCUGAUGCAGCCAUGCCGCGUGUGUGAAGAAGGCUUUCGGGUUGUAAAGCACUUUCAGCAGUGAGGAAAGGGUGUUGGUUAAUACCCAAUAUCUGUGACGUUAACUGCAGAAGAAGCACCGGCUAACUCCGUGCCAGCCGCCGCGGUAA